CUCACUCUGUCGCCCAGGCUGGAGUGCAGGGGCGCGAUCUCGGCUCACUGCAACCUCCGCCCCCUGGGUUCAAGCAAUUCUCCUGCCUCGGCCUCCCGACUAGCUGGGAUUACAGGUGUCUGCCACCGCGCCUGGCUAAUAUUUUUGUAUUUUUAGUAGACACGGGUUUCACCAUCUUGGCCAGGCUGGUCUUGAACUCCUGACCUCGUGAUCCGCCCGCCUCGGCCUCCCAAAGUGCUGGGAUUACAGGCCUAAGCCACCGCGCCCGGCCGGGCACAUUCUUGUCUGCCAACUCCAGGUGCUUAGGCAUGUGGACAUCCUUCUUGACCACCGUGACUUCCUCUUUAAAAAGGAGUUCAUAAAUGGCAAUCCGGUUUUUCUUAGGCAUCAGCAUUCUGGGGAGAAGCAGCCGCUAAGGUGGCAGGGUGGCCCGGAUGGGGGCCGAUGGAACUCGAACUCCCCCAUAAUUUAAUAUUUUAUAUAUAUAUAUAUAUAUAUAUACACACAUAUAUAUAUGUUGCUCGCUUAUUUUUUUUGUCUGUUCCCUUAUGUACCGGGAGUGCCAGGAGGACAGGGCUUUGUGUUUUCCUCACUGCUGUCUGGCUCAUGCAUAGCACAGUCCUUGGCACACGGUAAACACGCUGAGGAGAACCUUUCGGACUAGCGGACUCUGAGCAUCAUUCCGCUGGGCCCAGUGGGGCCUCUGAAGGGACCCGCCUUGCCCGGCUCCAGCCCAAGACGUGAGGCAUGCGCACCGGCUGGCCGGCUACUUCUUUCUUGACCUGCCAAGUGGCAGAGCGGCUGCGCUACCCAGUGCCGAGACAGACGCGAGCUGGAGAUGGGGGAACGGGACGGGGUGGUGGUGGGGGACGGCGGCGCCUGCGCAGUGAAGGAAUGUAGGCGGGGCCUCCAUGGCGCCUGCGCAGACGGCCGCAGCCCUGCUGGGCGCGAAGGGGCUGGCCAAGGGCGGGGCCCGCGAGGGAGGCCGGGCGGCCCGGCAAGCGGGGCUGUGGGUUAGGCUGCUUUCCUGAGGCCGGACUCAGCGGGUCUCGGCUGAGCCACCGGGUGAGCUCACCGCCCAGCCCAAACCAGGAGAUUGCGAGGGAGCGAUGCGGUGCAGCGCGUGUUGUUGGGGAAGAUCCCGACUAAGCCAUUUUCCAGUGGCACCUCUUCCAUCAUGAGUUCCUGAGGCAGUCCGAUGGGGCUACUUUAUUCCAGAACAAUCACAGUGAGACCUUUUCUCCCAAUAAAUUGCCCCUUUUCUCUCCUUAAUAUAUUCUCUUGCUUACAAAACACUGGUGUCUCCUUAUCAUGGUUUGGUUCUACCCCACUGGGCCCAAGAAUUCUUGCCCAGGAGCAACUGAAUUUUCUUCUUGCUUGCUUUUUAAAACUUUGGUGGGGUAGAGCCAAUUUUAAAUCUUCUGAUCCAUUUUUUCAUUGUUUUUCUCACCCUUCUGCAUUUUCUGCAAAUUCCGUUGAAUCAUUGCAGUUACUUAGGUUUGCUUCGUCUCCCCCAUUACAAACUACUUGCUGGAUUUUUCAACCCUAGUUCCCUCAUUUUUAUGAUUUAUGCUCAUUUCUUUGUACACUUCGUCUUGCUCCAUCUCCCAACUCGUGGCCCCUGGCUUUGGAUUAUUGUUUUGGUCUUUUAUUUUUUGUCUUCUUCUACCUCAACACUUAUCUUCCUCUCCCAGUCUCCUGUACCCUAUCACCAAGGUUGUCAUUAACCUUUCAUAUUAUUCCUCAUUAUCCAUGUAUUCAUUUGCAAAUAAGCGUAUAUUAACAAAAUCACAGGUUUAUGGAGAUAUAAUUCACAUACCUUAAAAUUCAGGCUUUUAAAGUGUACCUUUCAUGUGGUUUUUGGUAUAUUCACAAAGUUAUGCAUUGAUCACCACCAUCUGAUUCCAUAACAUGUUCAGUACCUCAAAAAGAAGUCUGUACUCAUUAGUAGUCAUUUCACAUUCACCACUCCCUCUGGCUCUGGGCAGUCACUGAUCUUUGUGUCUCUAUGGAUUUGCCUAGUCUAGGUAUUUUUAUGUAAAUGGAAUCAUACAACAUGUGACCUUUUGUUUGGCUUUUUUCAUUUAGCAAAAUGUUAUCAAGGUCUAUCCCUGUUGUAGCAUGUAUUAGCACUUCAUUUCUUAUAUGCUGAAUGAUAUACUUUAUUUGUCCAUCAGUUGUUCAUGCUUUAUUUGUCCAUCAGUUGAUGAACAUUUGCGUUUUUACCACUUUGGGCUAUUAUGAAUAAUGCUACUGUGAACAAGUGUGUACAAGUUCCUCUGCAAAUUUUUGUGUGGACAUAUCCUUUCAGUUCUCUCAGGUGUAUAUCUGGGAGUUGAAUUGCUGGGUCUUUGUAGUAGCUCUGUUAAACACUUUGAGAAACUGCUAUAAUGUUCUCCAGAGCUGUACCAUUUUAAAUUCUGUGUAUGAGGAUUCCACGUUCUCCACUUCCUCACCAGUGUAUGGAUUUGGGGGUAUACUUUUUAAAAAGUGGGAUUAGGCUGGGCACAGUGGCUCACACCUGUAAUCCCAGCACUUUGGGAAGCUGAGGUGGGAGGAUCACUUGAGCCUAGUAGUUUGAGACCAGCCUGGGCAACAUAGGGAGACCCUGUCUCUACAAAAAAUAAUUUAAAAUAAAUUAGCUGGGCGUUGUGGCACACACCUGUAGUCCCAGCUACAUGGGAGGCUGAGGCGGAAGGAUUCCCUGAGCCCAGAAGUUUGAGGUUGCAGUGAGCCAUGAUGGCAGCACUAUACUGUAGCCUGGGUGUCAGAGCAAGACUCCGUUUCAGGGAAGAAAAAAAAAAGUGGGAUGAUAUUUUUGACACUUUUCUUCUUGUUUUCUUAAUUUCAUACUUCUGGAAAUUCCAUUAAAUUAGCUGGUACCACUCUAACUCAUUGUGUUACAUGGCUGCAUAGUAAUAUUGCAUAAUAUAAAUAUACCAUUCAUUCAUCAAAGUUAGCAGAUAUUGACUGUUAGGUGCCAGGCACUGCUCUAAGCGUUAAAGAAAAACACAACAAAAACUUUUGCAUUCUUAGAGUUUAUUUUCCAAUGGAGGGGGUGGAGGGAGGUAAGAAUUUACGAAAUAAAUUAAUUACAUGUGUAGCAUAGGGUUUCACCAGUGAGUGCAGCUUGAAUCGUUGGCAGCUUUCUUGGUAGUAUAAAUACAGUACUAAAGAUGAAAUUACUCUAAAUGGUGUUACUUAAAUUACUGGAAUAGGUAUUACUAUUAGUCACUUUGCAGGUGAAAGUGGAAACACCAUCGUAAAAUGUAAAAUGGGAAACAGCUGGUUAAUGUGGAUCUGGAGUUUUUCUAGGACAUAAACUGAUGAGCUAGAAAAGUAAAUGUGUCAGUCCUUGGUAGCACAGUUUGUACGUUUAUAAAUUUUAUCCAAAUCCUCUUAAUCUAGUGAUUAAUAGACACUCUUCACAAAAGGAUGAGGGAGGUGUAUGUGUAUGUGUUGAAAGGUUCCGAAGGAUGCAACCGAGAGUACUUUGGGGGACAUGGCAAAACUUCCAGGCCCAUUCAAGAGUCUUGUUUUCUCCCUGAGCUUUUAUGUGUUUAUUAUAUUGCCCUAUUAAUUAUUGAGAUUGUGCCUUACAGUAAAAGCUGCUUUAAAUUGUUGACGCUAUAAUUUAAAAUAAUCUGGGUCACCUAGAGUGGUUAAGCCUGGAAGAAAAGGAUGUCCUUCCUGCCAGGGUAGAUUGUAUGUAGAUACGCAACCUGGUUGCGCCUGUGCUGACCUCUACUCUGUUGGGCCUGGAAGUAUGCGGUUCAACGUUUCUCGUCUGAUUUUUAAAAAAAAUUUGACUUUGUUUACUUUUUAUUUUAUUUUAAUUUAGAGACAAGGUUUCACUAUUUUGCACAGGCUGGUCUCAAAUUCCUGGGCUCAAGUGAUCCCCUUGCCUCGGCCUCCCAAAUACUGGGAUUACAGGCAUGAGCCACUGCACCUGGCCUUAACUUUGAAAUGAAGUUAGAAAUGUACAUUUUAUUUUUAUUAUUAUUAUUAUUAUUAUAAUUAUUAUUAUUAUUAUUUUAGAAACAGGUCUAGCUCUGUUGCCCAGGUUGGAGGGCAACAAUGGUGCAAUCACAGCUCACUGCAGCCUCCACCUCCUGGGCUCAAGUGAUUUUCAUGCCUCAGCCUUCCGAGUAGCUGGGAUUACAGGCAUGUGCCACCAUGCCCAGCUAAUUUUUUGUAUUUUUAGUAGAGACUGGGUUUCACCAUGUUGCUCAGGCUGGUCUUCUGACCUCAAGUGAUCUGCCCGCCUCAGCCUCCCAAAGUGCUGGGAUUACAGGCGUGAGACACCACGCCCAGGUGAACAGAAUAGUUUUCCAUUCACCACAGUUUGUGAUUGUCUCUACAUUGUGAAGUGACAAGUUCUCUUCUAUUUUCCUUCUGCCCCUCAUCACCUUUUUCUUCCUCAUUUCUUUUUUGAAUUUUGCUGUCUUGAAUUGGUGUCUAAAGGAUGACAUAGCAGACAAGGGGACUGACACAUGAACUCUCAUGAGUUACUGAGGAGUUUCUCAGUGCUCUAUCUGCAUCAUCUGCUCACUCUCUCCUUCCUAGGUGCUAGCCUGCCAACCUGCUUUGAGAAAUUGGAAAUGAAUCAAGGGGUAAUCAGCCUCCCCUUGUACAUAUAGGGACCGCAUCUCCAAUGCCUUGCUUUACAUAAUGACGAAUGGUGUUUUGCUUACCUACUUCCACACAAACUGCUGAUAUGGUUAGGAUUUGGGAAAGGGGAAGAAGGGAAUUUUGGGUUUUGAGGAGUAGCUGGGGCUUGAACAAAGAAGAGGUAGUAAUGAACAUUCCUGGGGUGAGGCAAUUAGUUAGCUGAGGGAGAAGAAGUCAUAUAAUAAAUUAGGGAUUGACAGACUGUCUGUAAAGGGCCAGACAGUAAAUGUUUUAGUCAUUGAAGACCUUAAGGUCUCUGUUGCAUCUAAUCAACUCCAUCAUUGUAGUGCAAAAGUAACCACAGCCACUACAGAUGUGAAUGAAUGUGACUAUGUUUCAAUAACUUUUUUUUUUUUUUUUUUUUUGAGACAGCGUCACUCUGUUGCUCAGGCUGGAGGGCAGCAGUAUGAUCACAGCUUAUUACAGCCCUGACUUCCCAGGCUCAAGUGAUCCUCCCACCUCAGCCUUCCAGGUAGCUGGGACUACAGGCACUUGCCACCACCCCCCAUUAGUUUUUGUAUUUUUUUGUAGAGGUGGGGUUUCACCAUGUUGGCCAGGCUGGUCUUGAACUCCUGAACUUCUGGGCUCACGCUAUCCACCCUACUCGGCCACCGAAAGUGUUGGGAUUACAGGCAUGAGCCAGUGUCCAGCCCAAAAUAGUCUUUUGAUUUUUUUUCCCCCAACCAUUUAAAAGUGCAAAACAUUCUUAGUUUUUGGGCUGAAAAAAGACAAAUGAUGGGUCAGAUUUGGCCCCGGAUUGUGGUUUGUUGACCCCUUUUAUAGAGGAACAGGAAGCAGAGAGGACUGGUUAUAGGGCCUGGGAAACCAAGCCAGGGAGUUAGACUUAAGGUAGUAUGAAAGAGGAAACCAUUUUUGUAAUGUAAUGAAAAUUUUAAAGGAAGGAUGUUUUGUAUUUAUAUGUGUUCCUGGAAGCAUCUGAGUUUUUAUUCAAAACAUGUUUUCACUAUGGAAAAUUUCAAACAUUUACAAAGUAGAGAGAAAAAUGUAAUGAAAUACCAAGUGAUGUAUUUAUCACCUACCUUCAACAAUUAUCAGUCCUAGGUCCUUUGCAUUUCUGUGUUUUAGAAUCAACUUGUCACAUUCUACAAAAAAGCUCCUGGAAUUUCUGUUGGGAUUGUUUUGAUUCUGUAGAUAAUUUCAGGGGAAGAAUUGACUUCUUAAUAAAAUUGAAUCUCCUAACCCAUGACCAUGGUAUACUUCUCAAUUUAUUUAGUCUUUCUUUAAUUUUUCUCAACAAUAUUUUUGUAGUUUUCAGUGUACAAAUCUUUCCAGUUUUUUGAAGGGAUGUGGUCAGAUUUACUCCUAUUUCAUAUAUUUUGAUACUGUGAAUUUCAGCUUCCAGUUAUUCAUUGCUAAUAUAUAAAAAUACACUUGGUUUUUGUAUAUUAAUCUUGUAUCCUGAGACCUUAAUGUAAUUUGUUUUCAAAGCUUUUCUGUGGAUUCCAUCGGCUAUUCUGUCAAUGUUGUCUGUGAAUAAAGACAGUUGUACUUUUUUCUUCCCACUCUGAAUGCCUUUUAUUUAUUUUUCCUUCCUUUACUGCACUGGCUAGAACUUCUAAGUACAUAAUGAAUAGAAGUGUAACUGCCCAAUGGGUUCACCUUGCCCAUUGCCUAGACAGAACCGAUUCACCAAGACGGGAAUUGCAAUAGAGAAAGAGUAAUUCAGGCAGAGCCUGCUGGGUGGGAGACCGGAGUUUUAUUAUUACUCAAAUCAGUCUCCCUGAGCAUUUGAGGAGCAGAGUUUUUAAGGACAGCUUGGUAGGUGGGGGGAAGCCAAUGGGCCAGGAGUGCUGAUUGGUCAGGGAUGAAAUCAAAGGGAGUUGAAGCUUUCUUCUUGAGCUGAGUCAGUUCCUGGGUGGGGGCCACAAGAUCAGAUGAGCCAGUUAAUCGAUCUGGAUGGUGCCAGCUGAUCCAUCAAGUGCAGGGUCUGCAAAAUUUCUCAAGCACUGAUCUUAAGAGCAGUUUAGGGAGGGUCAGAAUCUUUACCCUUCAGCUGCAUGACUCCUAAACCAUAAUUUCUAAUCUUGUGUCUAAUGUGAGUCCUACGAAGGGAGUCUGGUGCCCAGGCAAGAAGGAGGUCUGCUUUGGGAAAGGGCUGUUACCAUCUUUGUUUUAAACUAUAAACUAUAAACUAAGUUUCUCCCGAAGUUAGUUCAGUCUACACCCAGGAAUGAGCAAGGACAACUGGGAGGUUAGAAGCAAGAUGGAGUCGGUUAAGUUAGAUCUCUUACUAUCUCAGUCAUAAUUUUGCAAAGGCAGUUUCAAUCGUGGUAAAAGUGGAUUUCCUUGUCUCAUUUUUGAUCCUAUGGGGAAAAUAUUCAGUCUUAACGUCAUUCAGUAUGAUAUUAGCUACAGGUAUUUCAUAUAUGCUGUUUAUCAGGUUUAGUAGGUUAUCCUCUGUGUGGAGUUUUGUAUUUUUUUAAUAAGGAAUGAAUGUUGGGUUUUGUUUAGUGUUUUUCUGUGUGUAUUGAGAAGAUCAUACGGCUUUUCUGUUUUAGUUUACAAUGUGGUGAGUUACAUUGAGUUUUGAAUUUUUUUUUUUUUUUUUUU